AGCGUAGACGGUGUGGCAAGUCUGAUGUGGAAGGCAUGGGCUCAACCUGUGGACUGCAUUGGAAACUGUCAUACUUGAGUGCCGGAGGGGUAAGCGGAAUUCCUAGUGUAGCGGUGAAAUGCGUAGAUAUUAGGAGGAACACCAGUGGCGAAGGCGGCUUACUGGACGGUAACUGACGUUGAGGCUCGAAAGCGUGGGAGCAAACA
rnacentral:rRNA from 1 species